rnacentral:rRNA from 1 species
UACGGGGGGGGCAAGCGUUGUUCGGAAUUACUGGGCGUAAAGGGCGCGUAGGCGGCCUCUGCAAGUCGACUGUGAAAUCUCCGGGCUUAACCCGGAACGGUCAGCCGAUACUGCAGGGCUAGAGUGCAGAAGGGGCAACUGGAAUUCUCGGUGUAGCGGUGAAAUGCGUAGAUAUCGGAAGGAACAUCAGUGGCGAAAGCGGCUUCCUGGACCAGAACUGACGAUCAGGCACGAAAGCGUGGGGAGCAAACAGG